AGAAUCAUAACGCAUGGAAGGACGCGCACCGUCAGCCGGCCAAGUGACUGACCCACGAUUCCUAUAUAUCGCGGAGAUUGCGUAAGACCGCACCACCGUGUACACGCUAUAAACGAAAAGGUAUUGAACUUAAAGGAGGAGCACUCUUACCAACUUAAUCAUAAUCAGAGGCAGUUGAAGUGCCACACAAGAAAUUUAAGCAACGACCGCUUUAUUGGAUUCUAAACGUGCAACUGUUUCUUCGAACUUCUAGAGCAGAAAAGAAAAUUACUUGUAUGUGAGGCUUGUACCGCUACGCAGUGGAUUGUUACUUAAGCAUCAAUUGUCAAUAAGAUGUAUGACUCUAUAACCAGUGUUACAUUAAUUUCUAAUUACGCGUGAAGACAGCAAUAAAAUACUAAUCGUUUUCUAAACUUACAUACAUUUCGCAGUUUCUUGCAUGUAUGUUCUAGAAAUAUCACGAAGGCUACUUUGGUUACCUACUUUCUACGUAAACUUCUUCCAUUUUUGCAUACUAAUCAUUCGUCGUGAGAGAUGCCAAAUCUUGUAAUUUAUCAUCAAGGAUCAUUUUCACCAUUUAUGGACUUGAAACUUAGUUGUGAUAUUACGGAUUGUAUCUUCCACAUAAUGCAAUGAAAUAAAGGAACAUUAAUAGAU